CCACUCACGCAGUGCCGCGAGCUCCGCCCUUUUUACUCCUGUCCUGCGCUUCGCUCUGCGGCCGGCGGCCAGGGGGGCGCUCUCUGGGCACGGGUGACACACGCUCGGGUCUGCCGAAGCUGGGAGGUUUCGGACUGGAGCGUUUGCGUCCUGCUUCCCUCCCCCGAUCCUGUCUCUUAACCCCAGGGGAAAACGCCCCGCCCUAUAGCUGAUUUUCCAGUCCUCUUUGACUCUUCCGCUGUGGCUUCAAGGAGCCUUCUCCUGCACGUUUUGCACACCCAAAAACACUCCUUGAACUCAGACGUGGGGGUGCAAAGAACGCAGGCUGAUGCCGCAGAGGCCGGGUGAGUGCUUUACUCCGGGUAACACACACGUAUUCUUUGCAACCCUUCCUUGUCCUUUGUCACUCACAACCCAUCCGGAGGCAGGACAAAAGCUGCAGCGAUAAUCUCAGAAAGUGCUAGCACCCAACAUCUGUGCACACGAGUUUGCAACAGAAAAUCCGAAAAGCAGAGGAAGGUUCCCAACGCCUGUUGAAAGAGCGUAUCCCAUAAGUGGAGAAAAGAGCGGGAAGCGCCUCCUUUAAUCACCUGACUGCAGAGCCCUAAACCCACAACUACCGAGCUACUGACGCCGCGGCCUAGCAGACAGUGGAGGGAGUGAUAGCUAGAGCCCUCCCCGGAGGGGGGCGACCUUGGCGGAGCCGUGGGACAGCCCCAGAGCGCUCCCGCAGGUCCGAGCUGCGGCGGCUGGGAGCUCUCGGGCGGCAGAGCACGUGCAGCUCCAAGCCGGUGAUGAGCGCUUCUCCCUUGUUUCCUUUGCUGUUGAGGGUGGGAAGUCGAGGAAAGGGAACUUUAGGUGGAGCAGCUGUUCAGUUUUCUCCGUGCAGGACUUUAUUUGUAAAAUUCCUAGGGGUGAAACCACACACAGGUCCCAACAGUGGCAAAUCGAGGUAAAUAGCGUGUGUCUCACACACACAAGGAUGCUACAAUCAUGGAAAAAUAUACAGGGACUGGGAAUAUAUGCCCAAUGUGUUAAAUACUCCUUUAUUGGUAAUGGGGGCGGGGGGGUUAAGGCCCAUUCCUGCAAACAAUUUACCCAUGAGUAAUCCCAAUGUGUUCUAUGGGUCUCAUGACGCUUGUUUUUCACAUCCGUUCUGGUUUCCCCUGAGUUUGCUAAAGGACUUGUUGAGAGGCUCUGAAGAUGUUCUUUGUUAGUUUUCAUACCUUAAGUGAAGGAGUAAGGCUGUAGAGAUUUUACUUUAAACAAAAAUUUCCUUUCACCAGAAUUAAUUAAAAUAAAAUAUUUUGUUUUAGUUAAAUAAGUGUUUUUUAAAGAGCAAACCAAACCCAAAGUAUUUUAUAUAGUCGAACUAAAAAUCCCUUCCUGUCUAGGGCCGUAAUGAUGCAGCCUGCUUUGCAUGGCCUAGAUCAUGGCCUAGAUUAGUCAACUUUCACUCUCUUGGUCCCUGUGUUGUCAAAAUUCACUAGUUCUCCAACCAUCAUAAAAUGUCCUAGGCCAGACAAUUCCUGAAACUUCUAAUGUGGAAAAAAAAAACCCAACAAUGUAUAUUUUUAUUGUGUUUUUUGAGUUCUUUAUACAUCCUGGAAAAAAAAUAAGGGCACAGGUCCAACAUUUUUUUCCUCUGUUCAGGUCACCUUUAAUUUAGCCACAUAGUAUACAUUCAGGAUUGUUUAUUACUCCUUAGACCCACAAAAUGUGCAAUUUAAUAUACGGUAUGUGCAAUGUGGUCAAGCUAACAUUGCUAUUCAAACUUAAAGGGACAUCAGUUUAAAAACUGAGUUUCUGUACCUUUGUUAGUGAUAAAUAUUUAUUAACUUUUGCAUUUAUAGUAACUCUUUGUCAUACUAAUGUUUACAGCCUUUACAUUGCAGUAAUUAAUUUCCCUGAGGAUGAGAGGUGAAACAUUGAAAACACACACACGCUCUCUCUCUCUCUUAAAAGAGCAAUGGAAAGGGUUUUACACCACCAUUCUAUGAAGAACUAAAUACGUGGUGGCCAGACUGUGGAUUUGUUCAGUUCCAUAGUGCCAUGGAUAGUUAAAACCUAUUUGGAAUUCCUAGCAUUUACCAUGGUUUAUUAAACAUGUUUUAGAUAUGUUUUAGUGCCUAUUAAAAUCUUAAAGAGGUUUUGUUUCCUGGAAAAAUCAUAGUGAGAAUGAGCUGGAUGUAUUUCUGAUUUUUUGACAUAUUUCUUCCUAAUUUUCUGACAAUAUGUACCUGGGCUUGCUCUUUAUAUCCUAUCUGCAAUAGCAGAGAGCAUGACAACAAAAUUCCAUUAUAUUAAUAAGUGAGGAUCUAGAGGACUAAAACCCAGGUUUGCAGGGCUCUUGGUGAUCAACACUUUCACACCAGCAGCCAUAGGAGAACUGUGAUCCAUGUGCUAUAAAUGCUGGGGGAAGGGGUAAAGCUAAUCACCACAGGAAGUGCUACCCAUAGAAGACUCAGUUGGUAGCACCCCAUGACCUUUGGUCCACGUGCACUAUUUAAGCAUGGAGGGAGUUCCAGGAAGAUGUAUAAGCACCUUAGAAGUACGUAACCUGUUGUUCCAACAGGCCCUGUUUUGGCUUCUGGUUCUGUUGUUGGGUUCUGACCCUUGGUUUGAGUGCUGAUUCCUGUUUCUGGUUCUGACCACUAGGCCUGACUUCUGGUCCUACCCGCUAUACCAGACUGAGCACAUCCUGGUUGUGAUAUAACCUGCAAGAUGUCCUGUAUUUCCUAAUUUAAUAACAAAAUCCUCUAACAGAACAUACUACAGCUUUUAACUAUGAUUUUAUAAGCAGCAGAGACAGUCAUAUGAGCUAAUUGUGCUUCUUGCUGGAAUAGUAAUGAGCCUUAGUAGUGGAAGCCACCCCUAUAACCAGGGUAGAGGAAGAUAUAAACAAGCAGGGAAUAAGCAACUGUUGGAAUCUACAGGCUAGAAUUCCAUCCUGUCCUGGGGCACACCAUUCAUUUGAGUCUCAUUCAGAGCAGGAAGAUGAUGGCAUCAAAAAUCCUGGACAUGUACACUGGGAAGGGAAGAAUUAACCAGGAAGAAAAAACUUUGAAAGACUGUUUUUACCAGCAAUCUGCCUGCAAGCCUUAGUUUCUCUGUGUUGUGGAAAGAAGGCACUCCCCAAAGUAGUCUGAGAAAUAGCUAGAGACUGCCAUACCUUCUUUUGAGGAGGGAAGAUACCCCAAAUAUUUUUUUUUUAUUUUAUUUUUU